GCCCCAUUGGCGGAGUGGCUAACGCGGUGUCCAUUUAAGGCAUUUCCCUUCCAGGGAGUGCAGGUUCGAGUCCUGUGUGGGGCG